CUAUAAACUAUGCCGACCAGGGAUAUGAGAGUUUUAUAUUUAUACUAUGAAUAAUAGUAUAAUCUCUUGUGGACCUUGUGAGAAAUCAUAAGUUUUUGGGUUCUGGGGGGAGUAUGGUCGCAAGGCUGAAACUUAAAGGAAUUGACGGAGGGGCACCACCAGGAGUGGAGCCUGCGGCUUAAUUUGACUCAACACGGGAAAACUUACCAGGUCCAGACAUUUGAAGGAUUGACAGGUUGAUAGCCCUUUCAUGAUUAAAUGGGUGGUGGUGCAUGGCCGUUCUUAGUUGGUGGAGUGAUUUGUCUGGUUAAUUCCGAUAACGAACGAGACCUCUGCUGUUAAAUAGAGAUAAUUAUAAGAAAUUAUAAUUACUUUUAUUUCUCUUCUUAAUAGGACUUUUGG
rnacentral:rRNA from 1 species